UUGUGAGUGUAAAACAAAUCAUACAUAGUUAAAGAAAGAAGAAAAUAGAACGACUUCCAUCGUCGAGAAUAGCUCAUCCACAAAGCAUUGCCCAUGUGAAUGAAAAGCAAUCUACAAAACUGAAGUCCAUGAUAAUAUGUACACAAAAGCUAUGUUUGCUAAGGUUUGUCCACAAAGCAACACUUCAAUGCAAGGUUGGAUUGACGAUUUCAACGACUAUGUUGGAGAAGAAAGGUGCUUUGUCUGAACUUACAACCCUAAUAAAAUGAAGAGAAUGAACCAUGUUCCAACUCCGUUAAAUGAGAAUGAUGUCAUUAAAGCUGUCACGAAACAAUGUUAACUCUUGAGCAUGCUUGGAGAGAGCUACAUCAUGACUAGAAAUGGUGUUCAACUCCCUCUGUUAAAGAUGGUGGAAGGUCAACAACAAACUGAUGCCUCUAUCGGUCGACACCAAGUUGGUAUAUUAUGCCUAUGUGUAUAACCCAAUAGAUGGGAUGACAGCUUCAUAGAGUAUUUGUGAUAAUAUUCACACAUCUCAUUUUGUGAAGCAUUUAAAAAUAAAGUGUGAUCGUGGAAUCAAAGUCGAGGAUGAUCGCAUGAAUUAGAUUCAUUGGAUGUGUUAUUGUCUUAUUUAAUUGUUGUCGAACAAUAGAAUUAGAAGCAUGCUACGGUUGUUGGUUUUUGUUAUUCACUGGUUGUUGAAUAAUUGAUUAAUUAUUUUUGUAA